AUGUGAGACCGCAAAGCCUGCCUCCACAGUGAUGUACUUCCUCCAACAAAGCCAUUUCCUAUGGGCGAAGCAUUCACACAGGUGAGUCUAUAGUGUGUGUGUGUGUGUGUGUGUGUGUGUCGGGGGGGCAAUUCCUAUUCAAACCACCACAGGUGGGUCAAUCUUUUUGAAUUUUUUCAGAGAUCUCUGUUGGGUUGGGUCUAUAUAUUGUUGUUUUACUCUCUGUUUUAUUAUGAUUAUUUUUUGGGCCCCAAUAGUUGUUAUUUCUUGCUAUACACUGCUUUAUGGCAUGGCUUGUUCUUGUCUUUAUAAGACUUUGAGUUGGAUCAACAAGUUAUUAUAAGUUAUUUCUAAUUUUUUCAGGUGAAGAGUUAUUUUGUUUACUUUGUUUUAUUUUUCUUUAUUCUGAGGGUUUUGUAUACGUGUGCAAUGAAACACCUAUUCCCCUCACAAUUUUUCACCUCAAACUUUCCUCUUAUCUUCUUCAAACUGUCCCGCCCCGCAAGUUCAUAUCAUUUCUCUUUGUAACUCACCUAUGUCCAGUUAGUGUUGUCCAUAUGUUUAUGGGUUUGGAGCCAUGCACCGUAGCAUGGCAUGGGAAUCCCAUCAGUCACCAAAUCUUCAAAAAUGAAUGAUUCUACCUUCCCUAACAACUAUUCACUGUCCAUAGGUCCUCCACAAUCGUCAGAACCUGAAGAUCAUAUAUCCCAUCUACACCAGAAUUUAGUUGGCUUGAUCUUGAACAAGUCUUGUACAGUUAACCCUAGCUAUUAUGAGUAGCAUGACAGCCAUGCCACGUCUGUCACAUAGCCUGUUACAGCACUCCUCCAUCACCACUUUUACAUUCUUUCAGCCUCAUCUUCCUUCAUGCUCCUUGGGACUUGUGUCAGGCUAGGUAUAAAUGUUCCAUUUAGGGUUAAUCAGUUGAUCUUCUAUUCUUAGCACCUUGACUAGAUAUGUACCACUCUGUUGGCUACUGCUUGAUGCAGAAAGAGUUCCCGACAGAGAUUGGGUAUAGCCCAGGUCUAUUGUUAUAAACACAAAUAGUAAGAAGGCAAUGUGGGCAAGAAAUAUUUAGCAAUGUAACUAUACAGGUUCUCUGUUAGGGCCUAUGGUUUCCAUUCCCAUGGGCUUUUGAACAGAAUUACAGUCCCAGGCAGGAAAUUCCCUCCCAUAGAGCAGAUCUCAAACUAAUUAGAAAACAGUUACUCACCCUAGAAGAGUCAUUCCACACGUAAGUCAGUAGACACUUCUUGUCAUCAGAUUGUCAUUUUAGCAUUCAGUGUCCAGCACUGGGUAGGACUAUUGAUGUCUCUCUCAACCCACAGCAGUCUCCAUAGCCUUUUAGGAUUCUACGAAAGGUAGCCAGAGGGGAGGAAGUUUUAAGUCAGUUUGAAAUUGAUGUCUCUAUAUCCGUUAGCCAAGUGUGUAUACUCAUAGCUGUAAACCAUUCCCUAAAGGUAAAAAUAUGCCUUCAUUUAUGUUAGAUUCUAGGAACCUUCAGUUUCUUCUCUGGUUUCGUCAAUGACCUAAUUCUCUCAAGUGUGUAUUGUUUGGCCUCCAGGUAUUUUCAUAGCUUUUUGGGGGUUUGUUUUGUUUUUGUUUUUUGGGUUUUUUUUCUAUUUUUUUUCUAGGUUCAUGCCACUGUGAUCUGAUAUGAUACCAUAAAUGAUCUCCUUUCUUUUAUAUUUGUUAACAUUUUCUUUGUGGCCUAGUAUGCUGUUUCAGAGAAGGCUCUAUGGGAUGCUGAAAAGAAUGUGUAUUCUAUAUCUAUUGGAUGGAAUAUUGUGUAGAUAUCUGUUAAGUUUAUGAUGGACCAAAACCCUGAGGUUUAUUUCUGUUUCUUUUUAAUUCGCAAGACCUGUGAAAAGAUGAAAGUGGGGUAUUGAAACCAACCACUAUGAUUCUAUCAAGAUCCAUCUUAUUUUUCAUGCACGUUAAUUAUUUAUGCCACCAGGAACUUAAAACACUCAGUCUCCAUUUGUUUGUAAUUGUAUCUUCUUGGUCAACAGUUGCCUUUACUAAGAGUCAGAGUGAGAAGGGUCAUUUCUCCCAUCCCCAGUCACUUUAGCUAUAUACAGAGUUAUGAGACAUAAAAUCCAUGUUUACCUAAUUUUGUGUUCAUGGUUUGUGGUAGUGUUAUUUUAUUUCCUGUACCAUUUCCUCCAUCCUUUAGUUUUUCUUCUGUUUACCCAAACUUUCCAUUGUGUUUCCCCCACAGAUUUAUUGAGUUUUUUUACUUCCAAAAUGUCUAAUUUUUUUAGCACAGUUUCCUUGAUAAGUAGUUUUUUUUUCCAUGUUGUCAACUUUUCUACUCAUAUUUCAGAUUUUUUUAUUUUUAUACUUUUCUUUUCCUUUUUCUACACUUUUUCUUCUGUGUUGCUGGCUUUCUUCUCCAGGUCUUAGAUUAAAUUCUUCUGCUUGCUCUUACCUUAUUUAAGGGUAUUGAUCAUUUUUUUUUAUUGGAAAACUUAAACUCUUUCUUUGUCAUUCCCACCUAUUUUUGUAUAUUUAAAUCCAGCCGUUGAGCAAUUAUGGUCUUUUGGAGAAAGAUAUUGCCUCAAUUUUUCAUGUUCCAGGUGUUUCUGUGUUGUGAUUUAUACAUCCACUAAGGUGGUUAUCUUUUCCAGUUUCAUCUGAGGAACUUUUUUUUUAUUGAGUAGCCUACUAUAAGGGCUCAAUCCCCAGCACCACUCAAUGACAAGAAAGCAACUGUUAUAACAUCAACACCAACAAACCAGCACGAUAAUGAUAAUCCACGCUGAAUUUCACUGCUCUUUGAUGUGCUAAGAACCCAUGCUGAGAGGAUUAAGUAAACAAGAAUCAAGUUAAGGACCAAACUAUGAGCAAAGUCGUAAUUUGUUGAUGAACUUCUAGCCAGCGAGAUGUAUGGCUCUAAAAACAGGAGUCUAGCAUGGCAGUCCUUUGAGAGGCUCCAC